AAUAGAUACCCGGGUAGUCCACGCCGUAAACGAUGAGUGCUAAGUGUUAGGGGGUUUCCGCCCCUUAGUGCUGCAGCUAACGCAUUAAGCACUCCGCCUGGGGAGUACGGUCGCAAGACUGAAACUCAAAGGAAUUGACGGGGGCCCGCACAAGCGGUGGAGCAUGUGGUUUAAUUCGAAGCAACGCGAAGAACCUUACCAGGUCUUGACAUCCCGUUGACCACUGUAGAGAUAUAGUUUCCCCUUCGGGGGCAACGGUGACAGGUGGUGCAUGGUUGUCGUCAGCUCGUGUCGUGAGAUGUUGGGUUAAGUCCCGCAACGAGCGCAACCCUUGAUCUUAGUUGCCAUCAUUUAGUUGGGCACUCUAAGGUGACUGCCGGUGACAAACCGGAGGAAGGUGGGGAUGACGUCAAAUCAUCAUGCCCCUUAUGACCUGGGCUACACACGUGCUACAAUGGACGAUACAAACGGUUGCCAACUCGCGAGAGGGAGCUAAUCCGAUAAAGUCGUUCUCAGUUCGGAUUGUAGGCUGCAACUCGCCUA
rnacentral:rRNA from 1 species